AACUGUGCUGCUCACAGUUAUUGUGUAACUCAUCUACGUAUUCAUCUUCAUGCUGGUACCCAUUCGCCAUCUGCUUUGCUCCUUCUCUCAUUUCCCCCUGGAUACCCUUAUCCACUCUGUACAGGGUGGCAUGAGGGGCGGUAUAAUGACAUUCUUCACGGAGGAUGUGAGUGUCACCUCUGGAGGAUGUUUGCUGGGGAUAUUUCCUGAGCUGUAUGCCCUCACCUACCUCAUUUGGCAGGGGGACAGGGGACAUUGAGAGGUGGGGAAUGAACUCCUCAUAACUCUCAGAAUCAAAAUCAUCAUCAUCAGAUUCAAAGAGGUCCCGAUAAUCCCACCACGGUCCACUGCUUUCUGAUGAUGACUCAGGCUGUGCAUCAUGGCACUGACCCACGUCACCCUGGAUGCCCUCAUCUACUUUGUUGACCUGAGCCAACCAGGUAGGUGAGGGAAUACCUCCCUCAGGGCGGCCAUUGCUCUCCACCUCUUCCUCUUCAGCCACAUUCUCAGGGAUACUGGUCACCAUUCUCAUGUCAUGGCUGUUACCUUCUGAGUUCACAUCUUGCUUUUUGUCCAAAUUUUCAGCCUGCUGAGGUUCAGCUUCUGUUUGUGUGUCUUUUGUUUUCAUUUCUUUCCAGCAGCCACCAUAUUGUUGGAACUGUGCCAUGUUAUAAAACAUUGCGACCAUGGAUCUUUGGUCAAGAGUAGUGGGUAACAGGGACUGAGGGAUGAGGAAAGUAGGAUGCUCACUGAGCGCCACAGGACAUGGAAAAUACAGACUUCCACUUGUGAAACCUAGAAAGAGAAGGGGAUAGUUAGCCAUUUUGUCUCCUGCAGCCAGUCACAACAUUCAGCGAGUACUCACUGCACAGCCACAGCUGCUCACACCCACCACGGGCUCCCACUGAGUCUUCUGUUACCUCUUCUGUAAAGGUAACAAAGCAAAGGACAUAAAGUCCUCCCCCAGUUUUUACAUGAGUAACUGCUAACGACUUUCUUAACCCAUCUCCCAUGCCUCUCAUGCUCCUCUAUCCAGGAUUUCCCAGGCAAGAAUACUGGAGUGGGUUGCCAUUUCCUUCUCCAGGGGAUCUUCCCCACCCAGGGAUGGAAUCCAAGUAUCCUGCAUUGGCAGAUUCUUUACCUCUGAGCCCCCUUAGAAUGUUUAGGCCUCAUCAAAGAAGUAUAGAGACUAGGAGCUGUAAGGUACCUCUUCCAGCCAGACUGGUCUCACAACCCAAGGAGACUUUGGUUGGAUUACUCUGUGAGCCUGAGCCAGUCUCUGACCGGGAGCCUCGGUUCCCUCAUUUGGGGAGCAAGGGCAGCAACAAUACCAAGCUCAUGGGUUGAUGUCAAAUGAGAGAACCCAUUUCUACUAUUGAGCAGAAUAACUGGCACAAAGCUAGAAUUUGCAUAUUUUCUUUUAACCUGAACAACAAACACUGCCCCAUGGGCUGCCAUAAUCUUAGUGUGAACACAGGGUGAAGGGAAGUAAUGGAUAAAGGUGUUAGAAAACCUUCAGGCCUUGGUUUACAGGGAGGGUCCUUAAUCUCACUGAACCUCCUUGGGGAUUCAGAUUCCUCACCUGCCCCAGGAAUGGAGAGUGGAUUAUAGACAGGAUUCUGGUACCAGGGACCCAGGCGAGGCUGCUGGGCCAUGGGCAGCACAUAGAAGAAAGGUCUGGAGGUAUUGCCCUCAAAAUUUUCGUUGUUUCCAGAAGGGUUCAUUUUCCAGGCUGAAAAACAGGUAUUUGUAGUUAGGAAAGGACAGCUGCACUCCGCCCUGUAAAGUGCUCUGAAGAAGAAAGCUAUCCUUGUCUCCCAUCAGAACUGGUAGCCUGGAUAGCAGGUCUCUUACCUUCUCUUCCUUCACCUGGGAUGGGGACACGAGGCGCUACCCUAUAUUAUGACCAGGGAAUCAGUGCCCAGAGGCCUGGGCUCACGUUGUGCUGAGCAAGUGGGGCUCCCCAGGAACUUGGGGAGAUGAAGCCUUGAAGGCAUGGGAGGACUCAGUGUCAGACGCCAGGGACCGCGCCCAGCAACUGCAGUGUAAGAAGGGGCUUAGGCCCAGGCUGCGCCGCCCUUGUCUGCAGCCUCUCGGGCCUUCCCGCCAGCCUCUGCCCUGAACUCCUCCCCAGUCCUGGAGUCCAGGCCCCGGGCUCCGCGUCUCCUAACACCCACCUCCCUGUAGGCCAGUCUGUCCCCGCGACCUCCCACACCCUGCCUUCCCAUUGAGGACACCUACCUUCUCUAGCCCGACGUCUGCCUCUAUGAGCCUCUGCGGUGGCACACACGGCCGGAAGUGCUGCGAACUUGCCUACAAGGCCGCCUAUGCUGCGGGCUGGGAGGGCUCUCACCGUUAUAUACCAGCCGCUGACACUUACGGAGGAGGAACCUACCCAGAAGAAGCGGAGACGAAGGCCAACCUGGACCGAGGACAGACCUGAGAGGAGGAAGAUUCCCAUAGGUGGGAUUCUACUGUUUUCAUUAUGGGCAAGAGAAAUGGAUGAAGGAAAAUGGACUAUAUGUAUGGACUGAAACAUAGAGUUGCUAUAAUGUUUGCUUUUUUAGAGGUCAAAGAACUAUCUGGACUCAUUCUAACUAUUUUGAGCACUUUGCAAAAAAGAAAAAAAAGCAUAUGCCUAUAAAUUAUUAAACAAAACCUUAAAGUAGCAAUGUUAUAGAGCUACACUAUUUUAAAGAUCAAUUGAAAAGUACAAAGCUGCAAAGAGA